GAUGAACGCUGGCGGCGUGCCUAAUACAUGCAAGUCGAGCGAACAGAUGAGGAGCUUGCUCCUCUGACGUUAGCGGCGGACGGGUGAGUAACACGUGGAUAACCUACCUAUAAGACUGGGAUAACUUCGGGAAACCGGAGCUAAUACCGGAUAAUAUAUUGAACCGCAUGGUUCAAUAGUGAAAGACGGUUUUGCUGUCACUUAUAGAUGGAUCCGCGCCGCAUUAGCUAGUUGGUAAGGUAACGGCUUACCAAGGCAACGAUGCGUAGCCGACCUGAGAGGGGGAUCGGCCACACUGGAACUGAGACACGGUCCAGACUCAUACGGGAGGCAGCAGGAGGGAAUCUUCCGCAAUGGGCGAAAGCCUGACGGAGCAACGCCGCGUGAGUGAUGAAGGUCUUCGGAUCGUAAAACUCUGUUAUUAGGGAAGAACAAAUGUGUAAGUAACGAUGCACGUCUUGACGGUACCUAAGCAGAAAGCCACGGCUAACUACGU
rnacentral:rRNA from 1 species